CCUACGGGAGGCAGCAGUGAGGAAUAUUGGUCAAUGGGCGAGAGCCUGAACCAGCCAAGUCGCGUGAGGGAGUACUGCCCUAUGGGUGGUAAACCUCUUUGGUCGGGGAGCAAAAGCCGGACGUGUCCGGCGGGGAGAGUACCCGAAGAAAAAGCAUCGGCUAACUCCGUGCCAGCAGCCGCGGUAAUACGGAGGAUGCGAGCGUUAUCCGGAUUUAUUGGGUUGAAGGGGUGCGCAGGCGGAUUUUUAAGUCAGCGGUCAAAUCGUGGGGCUCAACCCCAUCCAGCCGUUGAAACUGGGGAUCUAGAGUGUGCGAGAGGUAUGCGGAAUGCGUGGUGUAGCGGUGAAAUGCAUAGAUAUCACGCAGAACCCCGAUUGCGAAGGCAGCAUACCGGUGCACAACUGACGCUCAGGCACGAAAGCGUGGGUAUCGAACAGGAUUAGAUACCCGAGUAGUC
rnacentral:rRNA from 1 species